rnacentral:lncRNA from 1 species
UAUUUAAAUAUAACGACUACAAUUGUAUUUUGGUACUUUUUUAUUUGAAUUUUUAUUGGGUAGCGAAGCAUCCAGGGUUGUUCUAGUAACAUAUUAAACCAAUGAUCGCCAAUAUAACCUGAUUUUAAAUAGAAAAUUUCCUGAAAGCUUGUCUAACAGAAUUGUAGAAGAUUUUGUAUGUCGAAGAUAUCUGGGGUCUACAUAAAACAUAAAAUUGAUUUCAACAGACAGACAGGUGAACAUGGCUUAAUUUAAAAUUUUUCCAAAUAUAGUAUAGAUGGAAAAUACAAACAGAAUGACAGACUUAUAAAUACACUUCUUACGAAAGUGAAGGGUAUAACUAACAUAACAUUGCAUUGUUUUCUGAUGGGAGCCUACACGUUAAAGUAAUCUUCUAAAGCGGUCUUAUAUAAGGAGUACUCAUAACAUAAGGAGAUUCUCAUAAAAUUUUAUCGUUUCUUAAAAUGCUAGGGAUCAUUAUGGACAGAUCCUUAUAAAAUUUUGCUUAUGUUGUCCUUUUCAAGUACUUUACAAUUGAUGUUUUAUAUUUAUUGAAAUAAAUUGGCUGGAGAGUCUGACGUAGGCGUAAUAUCUUAUGUAUGUUUAUAUGUAUAUUUUUAUUAUCGAAUGAUAUAAGAAUGAAAGGAAAAGAAGCAUGGACUUUAAUUGGUGUAAUACAGUUUUAUGUCUAAUGCUAUUUCGGUGAUAAUAUCAACA